CCACUCUCUCUACUCUCUCUUUUCUCUCUUUCCUUCUCUCUCCUUCAAAUUCUUUUUUGUAAUCUGAACGGAAUUUUUCUUAAUCAGCCGUCAUCUCCGUCGUUCGCCGGGUGGCGCCACUGGUAAACUGCCGUCCGUACGCCGAUCCAACCAGUGCCCUCAGGAAAAACAAAAAAAGUUCACAAUAUCUUGUUAGACGAUUUUGCCCCUGGGAAUAUCAACUUCCUACGGUUUUGCCACCGGGGCCUAGGUUACUGGCAUUUAACAAAGGGCCGAGAAAAAAAAGGCAAAUGAGUUUCCAUUGCCACAGCCGUGGGCUGUUAUCAGCUGGGCCGUCAAGAAAGCGGAAGGAGCCGUCGGCUCUUAAAGCCGGUGAGCAGCCAAUUACGUCGAACCGGCUUCUGGCCGGGUACAUGGCUUAUGAGUUUCUGACCAAAGGAACCAUCUUGGGCAGGAAGUUCGACCCGGAUCGAGCCGAAGCAAGCCCAUUCCCGAACGCCGUUGCUCAGUACAAGAAGCCGAAGACGGAAGCCGCGCCGCCGGAGAUCAU